AGGGACAGUUAUUGAAAUUUAUCUAUGAAAUUUUAGUUUAAUUUUGUACUCUCUUGCUUGCUAAUAGCUUUGUAAUGCAAAUUUUUAAUUUUCAAUUAAAAAAAUGAAAGGUAAAUAACAAUUCUAGGUACAAAUAUUAAGGCCUCAUCUAAGUUCAAAUUUUCUUUUAUUUUUACAUUUGACAAUGAUUGGGAUUAAAAGAUACAUUCAGCAUGCAAGAAAAAACUUAGUAAAUAUAAUGUGAUUUUAGCUAUUUUCAA
rnacentral:misc_RNA from 1 species